UUCCAGACUCCUACGGGAGGCAGCAGUGGGGAAUAUUGCACAAUGGGGGGAACCCUGAUGCAGCGACGCCGCGUGGGUGAAGGAGUACUUCGGUACGUAAAGCCCUAUCAGCAGGAAAGAAAAUGACGGUACCUGACUAAGAAGCCCCGGCUAACUACGUGCCAGCAGCCGCGGUAAUACGUAGGGGGCAAGCGUUAUCCGGAUUUACUGGGUGUAAAGGGAGCGUAGACGGCGACGCAAGUCUGGAGUGAAAGCCCGGGGCCCAACCCCGGGACUGCUCUGGAAACUGCGGCGCUGGAGUACGGGAGGGGCAGGCGGAAUUCCUGGUGUAGCGGUGAAAUGCGUAGAUAUCAGGAGGAACACCGGCGGCGAAGGCGGCCUGCUGGACCGUGACUGACGUUGAGGCCCGAGAGCGUGGGGAGCAAACAGGAUUAGAUACCCUAGUA
rnacentral:rRNA from 1 species